AUAGGCCUGCGGUGUUUGGUAAAGAGACAAUUCUCUUGGCUCAAACUACAACCAUGGGAGACGGCAUAGUCUGGUUGCAUUGCUCCGGCGGAGAGGUCUGCCUCUUUGAGCAGGAACAGAAUGCCAGGCAACUAGUUUCCCCCUUGAACCUUAGGUUCAAGAGAUAUCCUCCGAACUGCACCGCAGGUCAUUU
rnacentral:other from 1 species